rnacentral:rRNA from 1 species
UGAAGCCAAGCUUGCUUGGUGGAUCAGUGGCGAACGGGUGAGUAACACGUGAGCAACCUGCCCUGGACUCUGGGAUAAGCGCUGGAAACGGCGUCUAAUACUGGAUAUGAGCUCUCAUCGCAUGGUGGGGGUUGGAAAGAUUUUUCGGUCUGGGAUGGGCUCGCGGCCUAUCAGCUUGUUGGUGAGGUAAUGGCUCACCAAGGCGUCGACGGGUAGCCGGCCUGAGAGGGUGACCGGCCACACUGGGACUGAGACACGGCCCAGACUCCUACGGGAGGCAGCAGUGGGGAAUAUUGCACAAUGGGCGGAAGCCUGAUGCAGCAACGCCGCGUGAGGGAUGACGGCCUUCGGGUUGUAAACCUCUUUUAGCAGGGAAGAAGCGAGAGUGACGGUACCUGCAGAAAAAGCGCCGGCUAACUACGUGCCAGCAGCCGCGGUAAUACGUAGGGCGCAAGCGUUAUCCGGAAUUAUUGGGCGUAAAGAGCUCGUAGGCGGUUUGUCGCGUCUGCUGUGAAAUCCCGAGGCUCAACCUCGGGCCUGCAGUGGGUACGGGCAGACUAGAGUGCGGUAGGGGAGAUUGGAAUUCCUGGUGUAGCGGUGGAAUGCGCAGAUAUCAGGAGGAACACCGAUGGCGAAGGCAGAUCUCUGGGCCGUAACUGACGCUGAGGAGCGAAAGGGUGGGGAGCAAACAGGCUUAGAUACCCUGGUAGUCCACCCCGUAAACGUUGGGAACUAGUUGUGGGGACCAUUCCACGGUUUCCGUGACGCAGCUAACGCAUUAAGUUCCCCGCCUGGGGAGUACGGCCGCAAGGCUAAAACUCAAAGGAAUUGACGGGGACCCGCACAAGCGGCGGAGCAUGCGGAUUAAUUCGAUGCAACGCGAAGAACCUUACCAAGGCUUGACAUACACCAGAACACCGUAGAAAUACGGGACUCUUUGGACACUGGUGAACAGGUGGUGCAUGGUUGUCGUCAGCUCGUGUCGUGAGAUGUUGGGUUAAGUCCCGCAACGAGCGCAACCCUCGUUCUAUGUUGCCAGCACGUAAUGGUGGGAACUCAUGGGAUACUGCCGGGGUCAACUCGGAGGAAGGUGGGGAUGACGUCAAAUCAUCAUGCCCCUUAUGUCUUGGGCUUCACGCAUGCUACAAUGGCCGGUACAAAGGGCUGCAAUACCGUGAGGUGGAGCGAAUCCCAAAAAGCCGGUCCCAGUUCGGAUUGAGGUCUGCAACUCGACCUCAUGAAGUCGGAGUCGCUAGUAAUCGCAGAUCAGCAACGCUGCGGUGAAUACGUUCCCGGGUCUUGUACACACCGCCCGUCAAGUCAUGAAAGUCGGUAACACCUGAAGCCGGUGGCCCAACCCUUG